GGCCAUGUGGUUUAGUGGUAGAGCAUCUGCUUUGAAUGCAGAAAAUCCCAGGUUCAAUCCCCAACAUGUCCUGGUAGGUCU